AGUGAACGCUGGCGGUAGGCCUAACACAUGCAAGUCGAACGGCCGCACAGUAAGAGCUUGCCCUUACGGGUGGCGAGUGGCGGACGGGUGAGGCGUACAUCGGCAUCUUCUUUUUCGGGGGGGAUAACGUAGGGACACUUACGCUAAUACAGCAUACGUCGUACGGCUGAAAGCAGGAGAUCUUCGGACCUUGCGCGACUCAAUGAGCCGAUGUCGGAUUAGAUAGUUGGCGGGGUAAAGGCCCACCAAGGCGACGAUACGUAGCUGAUCUGAGAGGAUGAGCGGCCACACUGGAACUGAGACACGGUCCAGACUCCUACGGGAGGCAGCAGUAGGGAAUAUUGCGCAAUGGGCGAAAGCCUGAUGCAGCCAUGCCGCGUGAGUGAUGAAGGCCUUCGGAUCGUAAAGCCCUGUUGUUGGGAAAGAAAAGAUGUGGAUGUAACUCUCGACGUUCUGACGGUACCCAAAGAGAAAGCAACGGCUAACUACGUG
rnacentral:rRNA from 1 species